CACGGAGUUAACCGAUCCUUAUUCAUAAAGUACAUGCAAACGGGUAUGCAUACCCGACUUUAUUCCUCUAUAAAAGAAGUUUACAACCCAUAGGGCAGUCAUCCUUCACGCUACUUGGCUGGUUCAGGCUCUCGCCCAUUGACCAAUAUUCCUCACUGCUGCCUCCCGUAGGAGUUUGGACCGUGUCUCAGUUCCAAUGUGGGGGACCUUCCUCUCAGAACCCCUAUCCAUCGAAGACUAGGUGGGCCGUUACCCCGCCUACUAUCUAAUGGAACGCAUCCCCAUCGUCUACCGGAAUACCUUUAAUCAUGUGAACAUGCGGACUCAUGAUGCCAUCUUGUAUUAAUCUUCCUUUCAGAAGGCUGUCCAAGAGUAGACGGCAGGUUGGAUACGUGUUACUCACCCGUGCGCCGGUCGCCAUCGGCCUUAGCAAGCUAAGCCAUGCUCGCCCCUGACUUGCAUGUGUAAGCCUGUAGCUAGCGUUCAUUCCUGACGCCGU
rnacentral:rRNA from 1 species